ACACUGUGUUGUUAUGGUUUGAAAAACUGUAAUAAUGAAAAUCAUAGAAUCACUUGGUAAUAUUCCAAAUCAUUGUUGGUUCCAUCUACAUGUAGUAAGUUCCAUGUAAGUUUCUACUGGCAAAACAUGGCAUUUUUUUUUUUUUUGAGAUGGAGUCUCACUCUGUCACCCCAGUUGGAGUGCAGGGGCGCUAUCUCAGCUCACUGCAAGCUCCGCUUCCCAGGUUCACGCCAUUCUCCCGCCUCAGCCUCCUGAGUAGCUGGGACUACAGAUGCCUGCCACCACGCUCGGCUAAUUUUUUUGUAUUUUUAGUAAAGACGGGGUUUCACCAUGUUAACCAAGAUGGUCUUGAUCUCCUGACCUCGUGAUCCUCCCGCUUUGGUCUCCCAAAGAAAACAUGGCAUCUUUAAUGAGCUGGGGUUACCAUAUCAUUUGGAGAGACUGGCAGAUGGGAAAUACUCUUACCUUUUAUUUUCAUGAUGGAUUGAUUCUAACAUGAGAAAGUAUACCAUCCUCCCUUGUGGGACUGACAUUUCCUUAGUCCCGCUUACGUUAAAUGUCUUUCAGUCCAGUCAUUAUCUGCACAGAGGGAUGAUGUCCUGGGGUACUGACAUGGAAGAUAUGUCUCCAAAAAUGAGAAAUAGCUCUCCUAACUAUAGAUAAUGCAACAUGCCUGUAAAACAGGGCUUUCUGAGGAAAAGGAUUUUGAAUAUGGAGGAAAACGACCAUUUAUACCAUAUAUAGAAAGCAAGGCAAGUACGUGGACUUCAAGGUUGGCUUUGCCUGGUAAAGCUCUGAUGAGGAGGAUAAUGACAAGGUAUAGUAAGAAUCGCUACUCUUUAUUGAUGGCUUGUACAUGCCAGACACGUUUUAAAAGUUUAUAUAUGUUAACUUGUUUAAUGCUCUUUACAACCUAAUGGGGCAGUUGCCAUUGUCUCCACUUUAUAUAUGAUGAAAAAUGAGGCCCAGAGGGGUUAGGCUACUUGUCUAGAGACACACUGUUGGCAUAGAGAGCCAGAUAAGCACCAGGCAGUCUGCUUGCAAGUUUGUGCUUUACCACCACAUGUAUGACCUCUAUGUGACCUUGGGAUGCAUUUGUUCACUUGUUUAUUAAUUCAUGGAUGCCCUGUUAGCUUCUGUGUGUACACUGGAGCUUCAAUUCCAGGGGGAAAGCCAGGAAAUGGUAUCUGUGAUUCUAACACAGGGUGACAGGAGCAUUGACCAGCCUCUGCGCUGUGAGCCCAGAAACAGGCAUCCAAACAGACUGUGGCUUGGGGAGAGAAAAGGGAUGUCAUGGAAAACCCCCUAGAGAAGCUAUCUUUAAGCACUGGUUAGGUCAGAGGGAGGAGAUGG
rnacentral:lncRNA from 1 species